AGAGAAUCACUUGAGCCCAGGAGGUUGAGGCUGCGGUGAGCUGAGGUCGCACCACUGCACUCCAGCCUGGGUGACAAAG
rnacentral:snRNA from 1 species